GCACCCGCGGUAAUUCCAGCACCAAUAGCGUAUAUUAAUGCUGCUGCUGUUAAAAAGCUCGUAGUUGGAUACAGAGCUCAGGUUGUGUUGUGGCCAUCGACUGCGCGAAGCAGCGUACUGCUGUGGAGUGUCGUCUUUGGAUUGAACCCAGCACGUCAAGACCUGUGCUCUAGGAAUGGUGGUAAUGGUGCCCUGUGAGUAGGUUCCUUCAUUGGGACUGAAAACGAUUACGUGUAGACCAUACGCAUACGGGUCGACCACCGAUGUUACUGUGAACAAAUCAGUGUGUCCAAAGCAGGCGUUGCCUUGAAUGAUAAAGCAUGGAAUAACAAGGGAUCGAUUCUCUCGGAUCUUUUUGUUGGUUUUUAACCCGAGAAGGAGUAAUUCAAGUGGUGGUUCGCUAGCCCUUGGGCGACGCGGAACAUUACAAAGCGGGAUCAAUAGGGACUGCCGGGGUCGUACGUACUCCCACGUCAGAGGUGAAAUUCUUAGAUCGUGGGAAGACGAACUUCUGCGAAAGCAUUCGACAAGAAUGUCUUCAUUAAUCAAGAACGAGAGUGUGGGGAUCGAAGAUGAUCAGAUACCGUCGUAGUCCACUACUGUAAACGAUGCCGUCUCAGGAUCGAGAGGUGCCCAUUAUGGCCCUCACGGCACUAACCCCUGAAACGAGAAAUCAAAGAUUAUGGGUUCAGGGGGGAGUACAUUCGCAAGGCUGAAACUUAAAGGAAUUGACGGAAUGACACCACCAGGCGUGGAGUAUGCGGCUUAAUUUGACUCAACACGGGGAAUUUUACUAGGUCAGGACAAUGCCAGGAUUGACAGAUUGAGAGCUCUUUCUCGAUCCAUUGUGUGGUGGUGCAUGGCCGCUCCUGGUUGGUGGAGUGAUUUGUCUGGUUGAUUCCGUUAACGAACGAGAUCUCGACCCUUAAAUAGGUAUGCUGGUCGUUUCGGCCUACGAGGCACUUGUGUCUCAUGGCUUAGACAUGGUAACACUUCUUAAGGGGACUGCGUGCGCUGCUAGUACGCGGAAGAGCGAGCCAAUAGCAGGUCUGUGAUGCUCCUAAAUGUCCUAGGCUGCACGCGCACUACACUGACGCAUUAAACGAGUCUGUUUGCCUUACGGCAACCUAUCUUGAAGAGGAUGGGAAAUCUUUUGAACUUGCGUCGUGAUGAG
rnacentral:rRNA from 1 species